rnacentral:lncRNA from 1 species
AAAAUCCUAACAUGUGUACAAUGUGGGUGUUAAAAUCGAAACGAUGAAAAAUAAAUUUAGAAAAAUAAUAAUGCAAGAAAAAAAAAGAUAAGAAAAAAGCACAUAAAAAAUUAACGUGGUUCGACCACCGACCUAAAUCCACAUACGAAUACGAAGCAAAAACUUUAUUAAUAUCAAAGGCGGAGUACAAAGAAGAUCUCUUAACAGAUCAAAACUUAAUUAGAUUCGAAGCGC